CCCCCGGAGCUCUCACCCCGGGCUCGGACCUACCUCUCCUGCCGGGACUGGUGCAGCAGCAGCGGCCGAGCAGCAGCAGCAGCAGCAGCGCCGCUCCGCCUCCGGAGAAAAAGCUCAUGUCUGCGGCUUGUCUUCAGUUGGAGUCCCCCCGGCUGGUGUCUCUCUACGGGCUGCGGACAGACGGAUCCUCCAUGAGCCGCAGCGGCGGAGGAGGAGGAGGAGGAAGAGGAGGAGGAGGAGGAGGAGGAGGGUCCAGGGUCGAAGUGUUGAAGCUGUGAGACGGUUCCUGGUGGAGUCGGUGAGACUCUGCAGAGAUAGAGACGGGCCCGGGGCCCCCUGGUGUCCGCGCGUGAACACUGCUCAUUUAAAAAGACAUCAUCACAUAUUAGUUUGUGUGUAUGUGUGAUGUUCAUUAUGCCCCCCCCCCCUCUCUACUUCUUUAUCACUCAUCAGCUGUUUUCAUCCAGAUGUUUUGGAUGUUGAUGGAUUAAAAGAGUUUUUCUCUUC